rnacentral:rRNA from 1 species
AUGGGGCAGCAGUCGCUGAUCUACGCGUUCGUGGCCCGCGGCACGGUGGUGCUUGCCGAGUACACCGAGUUCACCGGAAACUUCACCACCAUCGCCUCCCAGUGCCUCGUCAAGCUCCCGGCCAGCAACAACAAGUUCACCUACAACUGCGACGGCCACACCUUCAACUACCUCGUCGAGGACGGCUUCACAUACUGCGUGGUUGCCGUUGAAUCAGUGGGGCAACAGAUGCCAAUUGCUUUCUUGGUUCGGGUUAAGGAUGAUUUCAGCAAGAGAUAUGCUGGCGGGAAAGCUGCUACUGCUGCACCAAGCAGCCUGAACAGAGAGUUUGGAUCAAAACUCAAGGAGCACAUGCAGUACUGUGUGGACCACCCUGAAGAGAUAAACAAGCUCGCUAAAGUGCAAGCACAAGUUUCAGAAGUCAAAAACGUGAUGAUGGAAAACAUUGAGAAGGUUCUUGAUCGUGGGGAGAAGAUUGAGCUGCUUGUUGACAAGACAGAGAAUCUCCGCUCACAGGCCCAAGAUUUCAGGCAGCAAGGAACACAGGUGAGGAGAAAGAUGUGGCUACAAAACAUGAAGAUCAAGCUGAUCGUCCUGGGCAUCAUCGUCGCGCUCAUCCUCAUCAUAAUCCUGUCGGUGUGCCACGGAUUCAACUGCGGCAAGAAGUGA